rnacentral:rRNA from 1 species
UACGUAGGUGGCGAGCGUUGUCCGGAAUUACUGGGUGUAAAGCGCGUGUAGGCGGGAGGCCAAGUCUGUGGUGAAAUCGCUCGGCUUAACUGGGCGGGGUCCAUGGAAACUGGUCACCUGGAGGUCGGUAGAGGCAAGUGGAAUUCCCGGUGUAGUGGUGAAAUGCGCAGAUAUCAGGAAGAACACCCGUGGCUAAGGCGGCUCUCUAGUACGGUACUGACGCUGAGACGCGAAAGCGUGGGGAGCAAACAGG